rnacentral:rRNA from 1 species
GACGAACGCUGGCGGCGUGCCUAAUACAUGCAAGUCGAACGGAGUGGCGAACGGGUGAGUAACACGUGGGUGACCUGCCCUGCACUUCGGGAUAAGCCCGGGAAACUGGGUCUACUACCGGAUAGUGUGGGAUGGGCUGGCGGCCUAUCAGCUUGUUGGUGGGGUAAUGGCCUACCAAGGCGGCGACGGGUAGCCGGCCUGAGAGGGGAGACGGCCACAUUGGGACUGAGACACGGACCAGACUCCUACGGGAGGCAGCAGUGGGGAAUAUUGCACAAUGGGCGGAAGCCUGAUGCAGCGACGCCGCGUGGGGGAUGACGGCCUUCGGGUUGUAAACUCCUUUCACCAUCGACGCGGUAGAUGGAGAAGAAGCACCGGCUAACUACGUGCCAGCAGCCGCGGUAAUAC